UACGUAGGGGGCUAGCGUUGUCCGGAAUUAUUGGGCGUAAAGAGCGUGUAGGCGGUUCGGUAAGUCUGCCGUGAAAACCUGGGGCUCAACCCUGGGCGUGCGGUGGAUACUGCCGGGCUAGAGGGUGGUAGAGGCGAGUGGAAUUCCCGGUGUAGCGGUGAAAUGCGCAGAUAUCGGGAGGAACACCAGUAGCGAAGGCGGCUCGCUGGGCCAUUCCUGACGCUGAGACGCGAAAGCUAGGGGAGCGAACAGG
rnacentral:rRNA from 1 species